rnacentral:rRNA from 1 species
AGAGUUUGAUCCUGGCUCAGAACGAACGCUGGCGGCAUGCCUAACACAUGCAAGUCGAACGAGACCUUCGGGUCUAGUGGCGCACGGGUGCGUAACGCGUGGGAAUCUGCCCUUGGGUUCGGAAUAACAGUUGGAAACGACUGCUAAUACCGGAUGAUGACGUAAGUCCAAAGAUUUAUCGCCCAGGGAUGAGCCCGCGUAAGAUUAGCUAGUUGGUGAGGUAAUAGGCUCACCAAGGCGACGAUCCUUAGCUGGUCUGAGAGGAUGAUCAGCCACACUGGGACUGAGACACGGCCCAGACUCCUACGGGAGGCAGCAGUGGGGAAUAUUGGACCACUGGGCGAAAGCCUGAUCCAGCACAUGCCGCGUGAGUGAUGACAUGCCUUAGGGUUGUAAAGCUCUUCUUACCCGGGAUGAUAAUGACAGUACCGGGAGAAUAAAGCCCCGGCUAACUCCGUGCCAGCAGCCGCGGUAGUACGGAGGGGGCUAGCGUUGUGCGGAAUUACUGGGCGUAAAGCGCACGUAUGCGGUUAUUCAUGUCAGAGGUGAAAGCCCGGAGCUCAACUCCGGAAUCGCCUAUGAGACUAGAUAACUUGAAGCCAUGAGAAGUGAGUGGAAUGAUGAGUGUACAUGUGACAUCCGUAGAUCUUCUGGAAGAGAACGAUUGGCGAAAGCUGCUCUCUGUACUGCUUAUCGACGCUGAUGUGCGAUAGCGCUGGGNUGCAACCCUGAAUGCAAUAUCCUGCUAGUCUUCGGUCGAAUUNGCNGC